GAUGAACGCUGGCGGCGUGCCUAAUACAUGCAAGUCGAGCGAAGCGGGGACGGGUGAGUAACACGUGGAUAACCUCCUAUAAGACUGUGAUAACUUCGGGAAACCGGAGCUAACCCGUAUACUUAUAGAUGGAUCCGCGCUGCAUUAGCUAGUUGGUAAGGUAACGGCUUACCAAGGCAACGAUGCAUCGCCGAGCUGAGAGGGUGAUCGGCAAAACUGGAACUGAGACACGGUCAAGACGCCUACGGGAGGAAGCAGUAGGGAAUCUGCCGCAAUGGGCGAAAGCCUGACGGAGCAACGCCGCGUGAGUGAUGAAGGUCUUCGGAUUGUAAGACUCUGUUAUUAGGGAAGCGGUACCUAAUCAGAAAGCCACGGCUAACUACGUGCCAGCAGCCGCGGUAAUUC
rnacentral:rRNA from 1 species